rnacentral:tRNA from 1 species
UGUUCUGUCGCUUAGUUGGUUAAAUCGCCGGUCUAGCGAAUACGGAAACGUGGGUCCGAAUCCCACCAGAACAC